ACUGAAACACAGGGUUCUCAGAUAUUUGGUUGAACAUUAUGCUGGGUGUGUCUGUGAGGGUGUUUUUGGAUGAGAUCAGCAUUUGAAUCAGUAGACUGAAUAAAGCAUAUUUCUUUGCCUCAUAGGUGAUUGGCAUCCAAUCACUUAAAGUCCUGAAUAGAACCAAAAGUCUGACUUGCCCAUGAGUAAGAGAGAACUUCUUCUGCCUGAUUGCUUUCCUGCCUUUGGAGUUGAACUGCAACACUGGCUCUUCUUGGGCCUCAAGCCUCCUGGCUUCUGAACUGUAACCACACCAUCAUCUCUCUCGGGCCUUUGCAUUCAAAUCAGAAACACCAUGGGCUCUCUUAGGUCUCUGGGUUGCCAACUAUGAUCUUGGGACUUCUCAGCCUCCAUAAUCACAUGAGUCAAUUGUUGGUUCUGUUUCUCUGGGGAACCCUAAUCCACCGCUCUAUGUCUUUCUUCCCUUACACAUACUGCUUCCCAACAUAUUAAGUAAUUUAUCAACUAUAUUUUUCGUUUAUUAUUUAUUUCUCACACUGGAAUGUAAGUUUCACAGAGAUCUUGUUCAUUACUAGAUCUCAAGCCUGGCAUCUACUAGGCAUUCAGUAAAUAGUUGUUGAAAGAUGAAAAAAAUAAAUGUAAUCUGCCAAGUGGAGGUAGAUACUGUGAAGAAGAAUAAAACCAAAUAAAAAAACUUGAGGGAGACAAUGGCACUUCUUUUUAUAGAAGGUGGGAUAAUGGACAUUACUACUGGGAUAUAUUGUUUAUCUUCCAAACUAGGAUAUCUUUUUUAAUCCUGAGAUCCUUGUGGAUUCACAUGAAGUUAUAAUACAGAGAAAUCUCAUGUACUCUCUACCCAGUUUCCUUAAAUAGUACCAUCUUGCAAAACAAUGGUACAACAUCACAAUCAAGAUAUACCUAUUGAUACAAUGUACAAAUCUUAUUUGGAUUUUCCCAACUUAACUUGCACUCGUUUGUGUGUAUGUUUAGUUUUAUGCAGUUUUUCACAUGUUUAGGUUCAGGUAUCCACCACCACAACAGAGAUACUAAACAGUUCCUUCACUACAAGGAUCUCUCAUGAUGCCUUUUAUUACCACAUCCACUUCUGUGCCCUUUACCGUUACCUUUUUCCAAUCUUGGGCAACCACUAAUCUGUCCUCCAUUUCUAUACUUUUUGCAAAGUAGGACACUUUUGAAAGGAAAGGCAACACUAUUAAUAAUUAUAGCAGGACAACUGGUUAAUGAGCACUGUCCCUGAUGAAACACAUGUGGCCAUCUCUUUAUUAUAGAACAAUCAUGAUAUGGUUUGACUCUGUGUCCCCACCCAAAUCUCAUCUUGAAUUGUAAUAACCUCAUGUCAGGGGAGGAGCCUAGUGGGAAGUGAUUGAAUCAAGGGGGCGGACUUUCCCCUUGCUGUUCUAGUGAUAGUGAGUGUAUUUUUUUUAUAUACAAGGCACACCAGUGAGUACUUUUUAAUUAAUCACAAGAGCUGGUUGUUUGGAAGUGUAUGGCACUUUCCCCUUCACUCUCUCUUUGUCUUUCUCUACUGCUGCCCUGUAAGAAGUGCCUUGCUGCCCUUCCACCAUGAUUGUAAGUUUCCUGAGGUCUCCCCAGUCAUGCAGAACUGAGAGUCAAUUAAACCUCUUUUUUUUUAUAAAUUACCCAGUCUCAGGUAGUUCCUUAUAGCACUGUGAAAAUGGAUAAAUACAAAUCAUAACAACUACAUCUAACAGUCUUGGAAUGGGUUCAGCAUGCCAAGCACUGCACUGAUCCACAUUAUUACUUUUAAAACUCAAAAAAAUCAUGAGGCCAUGAUUUUUUUUUUUCUUUCUUUUACAGAGGAAGAAACAGAGGCAGUGAGGCAUUAAGACACCUGUCUAGGGUCACAGGGUGUGCAGCUUUCAGAGUUAGGAAUCAUAACCAGGUCUGUCUUGUUACAAAGCUUGCCUUUUGUAACUCCUGCACAUUAAACAAAUAAUUACAACUAAUUUAUUAAAUAAUUACAAGUGAGCAAAGUGUUGUGAAGGAGAAGUAGAAAGGGCUACUGAAGCAUAAAAUGGGAAUUGGAAAAUACCUACCUCACCCAGAAUUAUUGUAAGAAUUAAAAAGUAUUCAUUGGUGCACUUUGUAUAUUAAAAAGAAUCUUUAAAAAUGUUCAGCAUUAUCAACCUUUAUACCAGGAGAGAGUCUUAUAUAGACAUUCAUCACCUUGAAUUUCCAAAAUGUUAAGAGCCAUUUCCUUAACAGUGCAGUAUCUUUCCAUAUAUACUUUGAAAUACUGACAUAGAAGAAUGAAUUUUAAAUUUUUAAAACUCUACAGUUUCUGACUGCAACACAAGGAAGUAUUCACCUGACACCAUAAACUGUAUAGCAGAGUUCGCCCCACAGAAGAAAUUGUCUAUUAUUUCCCCCAGAUGUUAGAGGACCCAUCGCUAAGGGAAAGAUUUGUACAGAUUCAGAAUCAAGAGGGAUGUCCUGGAAGAAAAACAAACAAAAAAAAGGCCCACUAGGUGGAGUGAAAUGGAUCAUAAGCAUUAUAUUCAAUUUCACCUUGAGUUUUCUCAAAAGGAGGAGCAUUAAGAAUCAGCCACCUUUGUACAUAAUUAAAGAUUUACUGAGAUCUGAUCCUGUGCCCACUGAUGAAACAUCAGAGGAAUGGGAUCCUAUAGGUGAAGAUCAUCAGCUUAUAAAAGCCCGUUGCCAUCAGCGGGGUUGGCAGGGAAAGGAUGAAGAUUGGUUAAGAGGCCAGUGGACUCAGCAUUGAAAUGAAUCAUGGACUUGAUGCCAAAAGACUCAGUUUGUGUCCCAGCUCUCUCAAGCAAAGCCCCCAAGUCCCAGUUUCCUCAUCUAUCAAAAAGGAUAAAAAUACUUAAUGGA